rnacentral:misc_RNA from 1 species
AUUUAAAUAUUUAACUAUCUCAAAUAUAAAUUGAGUGUAUAUUGAUUUGUAUAAUGUAAUGGCAUACAAAUUUGACUGGAUUGUUAUAGCGUAUGUUAUAAUAGUUGAUGACAUAAAAAAUAUAGUUUUAUGUAUUUCAAUCAAACAGUAAGGGUAUAGUA